AAAAUAUUUACUCAAAUUUUCAACAUAACCUUCAUUCCAUGUUAUUUUUUUCUUAUUUUUUUUCGAGGGAAUACACUAAUUUAUUAUAAAGGUGACAUUGCUAUUGAUUCAGCUUCAUUUUAAGUAAUGCAAAUCAUAAUCUGAAAUGGAUUCUGUUAUUAUUUUGUUUCAAAAAUAAAAAUAUUGGCAGCUUACCCAUUUUAUUAUGUACUUUUU
rnacentral:lncRNA from 1 species